rnacentral:sRNA from 1 species
UUUUAAAACAACAUUAUCAAACCUACAAAAAACAUUUGCUCACUUUCCCUAUCUCCCCACUGGAUUAAUAUAUAAAGCAAACCCCAAACACCACCCAUCCCCUAGACUUAACAGGUGGUAAUUGCAAUACCAUAAUUCACUUGACAAAAUUAAUAAUGAUUUCAUUGUGUCAUGUAAUAGUCCAUAUUUCAUCUUCUCUGGUUGUAGCUGGUUUGUGUAUGGAAUUGUUUGACAGAUGAAGGUCAAGCCUCUCAGAGAAGGGGCAGCUUUUUCUAAUUCUUCCAAUGGGGUCAUAUGGGGCUGGUCCUAGAUGACCUCAUGGGUCAUCCCCCACUUCUAUGUCUCCCCUAUCUGCAGCUACUUCCAUAUUUGCACUAAAGGAGAUUCAGCUACAAAAGGAGGCCAGCCUUCGGUCUUCAUCGAUGCCUGACUCAGGCAGGCCAGCUUUCCGCGUGGUGGACACCGAGUUCUAAGCCACAGACCGAGGCCCCAGCAGGCAGCGGCUGGAGGGAUGCCACACC